rnacentral:lncRNA from 10 species
AGGGCGCCGGAGAGCCUGGAGCAGGGCGCCAGGAGGCCGGAGCAGGAGGAGAAGGAGUAGGAGGAAGUGGUCACUAGCGCGGCGGCCGCCGGCCCGCAAUGGUGCUACCCUGGUUGCUGCUCGAGACUGCGCGCAGGGCGGUCCUCGGGUCCGCGGAGGCUGCGCUCUGCGCCAUGAAAAUGACAGAUGAAAAUAGAAAAGUGUGGCUGGUCUGAAGUGGAUGAAGUAGGUGAAGCUCUACAGAUGAAUCCAAGAGACUUCAAAGAGAAGUACAAUGAAGUAAAACCAUCCAAAUCUGACAGCUAGUGUUUUCUUAUUUAGCCGGAGUGAGAAGCAAGAAGGCCCUGGACACAGCAAUAUCUCUGGGCUUUCACAGGCUGAAAUGCAGUGGCAAGAUCACAGCUCAUUGCAACCUAUACCUCCUGGGCUGAAGCAAUCCUCCCACCUCAGCCUCCAGAAUAGCUGGGACUACAGGCACGCACCACCACACCUGGAUAGUUUUUUCACUUUCUGUAGAGACAGGGUCUCGCUAUGUUGCCCAGGUUAGUCUCGAACUCCUAGCCUCAACUGAUCCUACUGCUUCUGCCUCCCAAAGCACUGGAAUUACAGGCAUGAGACACCAUGCCUGGCCAGUAUAGUUUUUAAACAUACAAAAUAUAUUAUUAUUUAGGCAUAUGGACAUAUAUAGUGUAAGUAUAAAUAAAUUAUAAAAAUAUCUACUUCUGAAUGGUUUCUAAUGGGGGAAGGGAGACGAACACAAUAGGCUUUAACAGUAUUGUUGACAAUUUUAUUUAAUAUGUUUGGUAGGUAAGCACUUAUUUUUACCUUUUGUAUGCAUGGGACAGGGACUGUUGUCCCCACUUGGCUACACUUGAACAAGACUAUAUACCUUUGGAUUCCUGGUACCCUUUUUUUUUUUUUUUUAAGAAAAAAACUUGAUAAUGUAUUCUAUUUACCCAAAUAAACAAAGGGUUAAUAAAUU